UGCGCUAGGUGUUGUAUAUGUCAGCAUUGAUAAUGUUUGCACAUGUGAUGAUACAUAUUAAUUGUUGUAGGAAAUGGCGGACGAUGAGUUAACUGAUAUGAUGUAUGACAUGGAGUUUGGAGAACUGAUGAAAGACUGGAUAGAAGAUUGGUCAGAUGAUGAAAAUUCAGAUCGUUGAGAUAGGUCAGAGAAUGGGAACGUAUUGGAAGAUCUUAAUGAAAACAAUGAGCAUGAUGAUGGUGAGGAAAACAACUCGGAGAUCUCGAAUGAAGAUUACAUUAGUCAGCUCAUUUCCGAAUGUCAUAAUGCGUACGACUAUUACGGUGAAUCCGACGCGGAGACAGGCCUUGAUGUCGAAUCAUUAG